rnacentral:lncRNA from 1 species
CAAGGCGUAACUGUUUUGUGCAUUCGCUUCUUAUAAACGAGUGUAAUUUUCUCAAGUAUAACUAUCAUUAUCAAAAUAUAGUUUGUACAUUAAUGUUUAAGUAAAAAAAAUCACUGAAUAUAUGUAAAGGGUAAAUUAAUGUAGUACUGUAGUGUUGUAUUAUAGGAACUACUGCCGUACUAACUACCUUAAACCGGAUUUAUAUUAAGGUAUCAUGUGAUUAAUUGUACCAUACUAUCGACUGAGUAACAACGACAAAUGUAGGUCGUAAAAAGGUAUGACGUUUGGCACCCGCAGACCUGCAGGUCCGGCUGUAGCUAGCAGCAAGGUGUAGGAUAGUCAAUCCAGUAUAGAUCUAUAUGCAAACUCACGAUCUCCCUCCAAGAGACUCUGGUUACAACUCGGGCCAUGACAUUUAAGGCAUGCUCCGAUACAGUGGAUCACAUUUAUGUAAAUGCCUGUAUGUAUAUGUAAUGUAUUGUUCCUGUUCUAGUAUCGUUGUAUACGUUCUCUUUCUAGUAUAGUUGUAUAUGUUCUCCUUCUAGUAUAGUUGUAUAUGUUCUCCUUCUAGUAUAGUUGUAUAUGUUUUCAUAGUAAUAUCAUGUAUAUGUUCUAGUAAUAAGUAUUGACUUAUGAAUGAACUGACUCAGUGAUCUAGCAAUAGUAAUAGUAUGACUCUGUGCUACCCCAAUGGUAGCUUACUAAUGAUGUAACUAGUACGCAUGAAUAUGGAAGUAUUUUUAUGUCUAUAUAUGUACACGUGAUAUAUCUAAUUAAUAUUGAAACGACCUUCGGACGGCUACCCGAUAUCCCACCAGACCACAU